UCGAGGCUCUGUGAUGUGUCGCUUUCGAUCUCGCGAAGCCUACGAGUUGUUAUGUUCCUAAAUGCCAUCAAAAGGGAACAAAAUCUUCCAUAGAAAGAAAGCUUCCAACCUCCAAUAAGCCAGCAGACAACCUCAGAAAGAAACGAAAAUAUCACCUGCCAUCCACCGAAACGAAGAGACUGGCUGACUCAUUUAUUUACAGCUUGACCGAUGCAUGGUAGGGUACAUAACGGAAGUCCUUGGAAAGUUCUGGAGUAUUUUAGAACAUUACUCUAUAAUGUAAAUGGAAAAAAUCGAAACUGACUCACGGAGAGACGAAUAAAUUGAAUUCAGCGUUGGAGUGACUAACACAAUGAUGGAGGGUCACACGAUGAACAAAGUCACAUAACGGACAAAGUCACGCGACGAACAAAAUCUCACUACGGACAAAGUCAUGCCACGGACGACGUCACGCGAUGGAAUGAGCCAAGUGAGAAUAAGUCGUAGAGUACUAGCGUACUUUGUAAAGUGUUAAAUCGAGUCGUGCUACAGAUCACCCCCGCGAUUCCAAAAAAAUGUCGACCGCUUAAAAGAGAAGAUAACAACGUCGUUAGACAAAAAUAAAAAAGAAAACACCUUUAAGUGCGACUGUUAUGCCGCGGAUGUUUUCUAAGAGAACAAAAAAACUGUUUUAAGGAUUUAAUAUCUAGGUUUUUUAAAACCUAGUUAUUAAAUCCUUAAAAUCCUUAUCAACCACGUAAGUUUAUUACUAAUGACCACAAGUAGAGGCUAUGGAAUGUAUAAUUA